AACAAUAAUGGAAGAAGCUUUAUUGUAGAAUUGAAAAAUAGCUUAAUACAUUAACAUGUUCCCUCUCCUAUUUAUAUAGAUUAGGAGAAAGGAUUUCCCUCAACAGAAUAGAGGAUCUUUCUCAACAGAAUAGAGAGAUAUCCUCGUAUAGAGAAAUCUUAUCUUCAUUGGGGAAAUCUUAUCUUCUAUCAGAUUCGGUAUACGAUGGGGUCGUUCCUUGAAGAGUUUGGAGCGAAGGAGUUAUGGCAGG
rnacentral:lncRNA from 1 species